GGAGGUUAACUAGGUGGAUGGAGUAAAAGUUCUUACAAGAACGCUACCUUGUAAUUUAUAAGAUUUAAUCUUAUUACUUGUUUGCCUUGGGUGAACGUGCUUAACUACCCUGGCAACAAGAGUUUUUGAAUCAAGCAAAUUACCUUCCCUAGUUUUUCCAUAGAUGAGUACUCGUUUACAAUUGCGGGAUUCAGUUCAGUACACGCCAGUUCAUUUGGAAGUUAACAUCACCUGCCAGUCUUUUUUUCCCUCUACAAGACUAUGUAAUACGACAAGUAUACAAAGACAGAAAACGCAAAGAAAAUGGUGAAACCAUUCGUAAAAGGAUUAGCUUUCAGCCAGUUUCCUCUUACAAUAGGCUGAUUGAAUCCUUUGCAACCAAAGCCAAAGGACAUAAUCAACUGGAGGUGAAGCAGUUUAAAAUUCUGAUAUAAACGAGCGUCCAAGAUGACAAGUUGUCUUAUACUGCGAACGUGAAAUUCUCGACUGUCGCAUAUUUGUUAACCAUUAAAACAUCGUGUCUCAAUUAAUUCAGAAAUUCACGAUAGACAACAAUAAUCUUCAAUAAUAACUUGUUUGAUUCAGGUAAUAUCAGGUGUGGGGAUCGAACCCACGUCUCUAUGUAGAGACCAGAACUUAAGUCUGGCGCCUUAACCACUCGGCCAACCUGAUUGUGAUAAUAGGGCUACACGGACGCUGCUAAAGUUUAACCCAAAUUGGGAUUCCGUUAGUCUAUGAACGCAUGCAAACUAUGGAAUAUGGAAAUGGUGUUGAAGACGUUUACAGCUAUUCAUAACGAAUGUUGACUGCGUGACGUCUGGCCGUGAAGCGUGUGGGCUGCUAGGCUGGUCACAAGACUUAUUUCGUCACACAAUCAACCACCAUAACUUCAUAGAAGCAUUGUCAUCCAUGCCAUUCAGUUCGGUGUGCUGUUUGAGCCUACGAAGAAAUUGCUGCAAAAUUUGAACGCUACGAUCAUCUUUUGGUAUUCAUUUCAUAGAACUUAUUGUGGUAACGAAAUACUUAAAAUGUCCUUUUUCCCCAUAUUUUUUCCAAAACAUCGUCUUGCACUUAUAGAAUGUGAUGGAUAAUUUAGACGGGGACAACAAAAAACAACUAUACUUUCAAGGGAAAGCCAAUUUCACUUGUACGCCAUGAGUUGUGGCAUUUUUAAUUUAGGGGAUGAGUUGCACGAGUUACGUGAAUGAACUUGAAAGUUUCGCACAGUUUGCCAGGGAAAUCAUUCAUAUUUCAAACUUCAUUGUUAUCCUCUCUGUUGGCUAGCCCUCAAGAGACAUGCACGCGUCGUUCAUUGGGGCAGGAUCAAUUCACGUUGGCAACCAGUAGACCGUCUGUUUUAUUUUGUCUCUAAAUAAUUGCUUCCUCGAAUGCAAGUUUUGUUAUAACCGCUGUCCUGCUUGUCUUUGGUGGUAGAUUCUGGCAUGAAUAGAUGGAACGAGACGCAGGGGAGAACAAUUAGUUCAGAAAAAUGCGAACGUUUGAAGGGAAACUAACUUACUUUCUUCAUCCUUAGGAUACCGAAGUGAAAUCCUCCAAGCAGAAUCAAGUUAACAGACUUGCACGUUACAAUGGCACCGUAUACGUUAUCUUUUGAUGUGGGCAAAGGUUAACGUGUCAGCAGCCAAGUAGAAGUUUUGCACACAACAGCGUGUAUUCUCAGAAUCUAACUUACGAAUAAGUGGGAGUGAAACUAGAUUAGGUUUUAAUGAAAAUGUAACAUUUUCGAAGAAGGGGGGAAGUCAAACUUCUAUUU
rnacentral:tRNA from 1 species